UACAGAGGAGCCAAGCGUUGUCCGGAUUGACUGGGCGUAAAGCGCACGCAGGCGGAUGCGCGCGUGGGGUGUGAAAUCUGGCCGCUUAACGGCCAGGCGCCAUCCCAUACGGCGCGUCUGGAGUGAUGCAGAGGUCGAUGGAAUUGCCGGUGUAGUGGUGAAAUGCGUAGAGAUCGGCAGGAACACCCAGGGGGAAACCAGUCGACUGGGCAUCUACUGACGCUGAGGCGCGAAAGCUAGGGUAGCAAACGGG
rnacentral:rRNA from 1 species